rnacentral:ncRNA from 1 species
UGGAGGACUGAGAAGGUAAGACAGUUAAACUUUAUGCUGUAUCUUACUGGUUAUAGCCU